rnacentral:rRNA from 1 species
AGAGAGAGACAUGCGCGCAUAUCAAUAAGCGGAGGAAAAGAAACUAACAAGGAUUCCCUUAGUAACGGCGAGUGAAGCGGGAAGAGCUCAAAUUUGAAAUCUUCAAGGUUUUACCUUGACGAAUUGUAGUUUAAAGAAGUGUUUUCUGCUGAAGUUUUGGUAAAAGUUCUUUGGAAUAGGACAUCAUAGAGGGUGAGAAUCCCGUAUUUGACCAUUAUUUUCAGCUUUGUGAUACACUUUCAAAGAGUCGGAUUGUUUGGGAAUGCAGUCCAAAAUGAGUGGUAAAUUUCAUCUAAAGCUAAAUAUUGGCGAGAGACCGAUAGCGAACAAGUACCGUGAGGGAAAGAUGAAAAGAACUUUGAAAAGAGAGUUAAACAGUACGUGAAAUUGUCAAAAGGGAAGCGUUUGACACCAGUGUUGUUUUCUCGAAAAUCAAUUAAAAAUGGCUCGAUUUUGUAUUGCUGAGACCUUAAAAGCUCACUGUACAUUUUUCGUGUCUUUUUUAACUGCACUUUUCGUUUAACAAGUCAACAUCAGUUUCUUUUGUUGUAAAAGGGUCAUUGGAAGGUGGCUUUCUUUUCGGAGAAAGUGUUUAUAGCCUUUGGCCUCUGCAAUCGGAGAGACUGAGGUCUGCAGCGUAGACUCUUCGGGGUUAGAUACAUUUGUGCUAAGUUAUAGCUUUUUAUAGACAACUUGUUGACUAUAAUUAGUCUUGUAGCUUACUCGCUUAUGCUAUUUUACCUACGCUUAGGAUGUUGAGUCGUAGAGCACGCAG